rnacentral:lncRNA from 1 species
GGCAUGGCCGAUGAUGCAUGUUUAUCAAUAUAUCGUUUAUACAUCAGUAUACAAUAAUGCCUUCUGCUUAGCUUAUAGCUGGAGUGCGGUCUAAAUAUGUGAACAAACGUUCUUGCAGCAUCAUCCCGGAGGAUGGGAGAAGGAAGGCUUAUGCAGAAGCCCUUGCAAAAGCCAGGAAAGAGGAAGAGGCUACAAGAGCAACAGAGAAAUCUCGUCUAGCUGCGGAAGCAGCAAAGAUGCGCAAAGAAGAGUUAAAGAAACUUGCAAAGCAGGAAGCUGAGGCUGCCAGUUUUGCAGAACAAGCCCAAGAGAAGGCGGCUGCUGCAGGAGUUUCAGUUGAGACCUCUUAAGUAAAGCCCAAGGCAUAAGCUCAGGACUAUCUUGGGAAAACCUGAGCUCACAGCUGAAAUCAGCUGUUCAGCAACCUGCGGAAGCAGCAAAGAUGCGCAAAGAAGAGUUAAAGAAACUUGCAAAGGCAGGAAGCUGAGGCUGCCAGUUUUGCAGAACAAGCCCAAGAGAAGGCGGCUGCUUCAGGAGUUUCAGUUGAGAGCCUCUUAAGUAAAGCCCAAGGCAUAAGCUCAGGACUAUCUUGGAAAAC